CUUGAAUCCAACACGAGUGAUUCCACACUCAAGUUGAUUUCCCUAGUUACAAUUUCGGCCAAGGAGGGUCAUUCUCUCUAGAGAGAUGUUUCUAAAUGUUACACUUUCAUAAUCAACAAAAACUAAAACUAAAAACCCUAAGAGGUUCUAUAUAUAGUGUAUUACAAAAUAGAAUACAAAAUGACCACAAUACCCCUCAAGGGUGAGGUGCCCAUAAAGUGUAACUUAGGGGCUGUUUUUAGUGCAUUUAGGCCCUCUUUUACACUUCACUUGUGCUACGCACUCGUUCUCGUCCAUCCUCGUGAUCGUACUCGUAUCAUGUACCCACCUAAACACUCGCAGUUUGACUUCCUUCUUCCUUAUGUGCACCCCCAUAGUUGCUAAAAUUGUCAGCUAGUUCAUUUUGCUCCAAUAAAUAUGCAAGACUGGUGGAUCAUUCAGCUGGCAGAGGAGAUAUCUGCAAUCAUCCAAGCGUUGUGAGUAAAGUAAAUUCGAACAAGUCAAUGUAUGUGCCACUUCAUGGGCAUCAAUAUUUAUUUUCUAUUUUAGAAAUCUGUAUCACAUGACGUAUAAAAGUGUAUAUACAUACACCUUUAUACCUUAUUAUUCAUUGCAUAGACAUUAUAUGUACAAGUAAUGUGCCUGCUUUGUAUAACCAUGUAUAUAUACAUUAUACAAAUUGCGUGAAAUUUGUCACGUAGGAUGUGUGUGCCUAUUUGUUCAACUUUAUUACUAUAAUUUAAGUGCCUAAUUGUGCACCCCCAAAGCCUGAGGGCAUGGAUGCCAGUUGAGGCCAAGUUUAUGUAUCAAUAGAUGGAGAUUCCAUCAAACAAACUCUAGUAGCACAUUUUCAGUAGUAAUAACUCAAAUAUUCAGAGAAUGAUCUAACCAUUCAUUUAUGAGAAAAUCCUCAAUUUCAAGAACACUGAUGUGAUAGUCUUACCAUAUAGUAUUGAAGUUUUUGUUGUCUGCUGAUGCUUGCAAUAAAGGAAACAAGUGACACAUCUAAUGCCUAGAUGAACUAGCAGCAAAUGGAAUGACACUAAAAUAUCAAAGAAAUUGGAGUAAAAAAUCAUUACCUUGCUUGGUCCCGGAAGUAUUUAGAGGACCCUGCAGACAUUAGCAUGCUUCCUCAUUUUUAUGUUAGCCAAAGCAUGUUGCUUAAAUACUCCUGGUGAAACAGCUAACGUACAAAUUCAAGCCAUAAUAUUCUGCCUGUUCAUUUCAAAGUUUUUUCCAAAUAUGGGAAUAGUUCUGUGGUCCUGAGUGUAAUAAUAAUAACAUGAGGCAGGCAGAAUAGUAAGCUGGUACAAAAAAAGCAAAUGAGAACUAAAUACUUGGCAUAUGCAGCAUUCUGUAUCAAACAACUAAUUGAUAGUCUCCACCAAAUAUUGAAGUGUUUGUAGUCAGUUGAUGCUUGCAAUAGAGGAAACAACAAGUGACACAUCUAAUGCUUAGAUGAUUUAGCAGCAAAUGGAAUGGUAAUGACACUGGGAUAUCAAAGAGUCCAUAUGUAUUAUUGAUCAAGUUUAUUCCAAAUAUGGAAAUAGUUCUGUGGUCCUGAGUGUAAUGACGAUAACCCGAGGAGGGCAGAAUAGCAAGUAGGUGCUUUACAAAAGCAAAUGAGAACUAAAUACUUGGCAUAUGCUAAACUUGAGCCUGAGGGUCCACCGGAAACAACCUCUCUACCUUCAAAAGAUGGGUAAAGCUAGUUACAGGCGGAGCCAGGAUUUUUUCUUAGGGGGUUCAAAAUCUGAAGAAAAACUCAUCGAAGGGGGUUCAACAUCUAGAAUAUAUAAAUAAAAAUUAUUUUAAUCAUGUAUUAAUAAUAUAAUUUUUCGUCGAAAGGGGGUCCGAACCCCCUUUAAUAGGCUAGCUCCGCCUCUGAAGCUAGUAACACACCACCAACCCCGGAUCCCACUUGUAGAAUUACACUGAUAUGUUGUUGUAGAAAAGACAGGCCGAACUUACAGGCUGACACCCAAGUUUUCACGUUCUGGUACAUCAGCCUUCACAGGCUCUAAAACAUAAAAAGCCGGAAAUCUUGUCAUCCCAAUCCAAUUAGUAAACAACACAAAUAUUUGCAAGGAGGAGAAAAAAAAAUGAAUAGCAAAACUCCAGAUUUCGAAACAUGUAUGUGCAAGUGAUGUUGAGAGCGAGGAAUGCAACGUGGGAAGAGAGCAAUUCUCGAGUGCGGUGAACAUGAGCCAUUAAGGAUCAAUCAUUAUACGAUUUUUCACAAUCAGUUUUAAGCUAGAAGAAACAUGUAAUAAGCUCAUUGAUAACUGCUAAGAUUAAUAACUGCAGUUACUGUAAAAAAACACCACCCUUACUGAGAUUGAGAGAAACCAAACUGCUUUUGGUCGCUAAUGUAAAGAAAGCUUACAAUAUCAUAUGAAACUGGAUAUUCAGUCUAGGCAGCUUUUUAAUUUCAGCAUCCAAUAUACAUUGUUCACAGCUAACAUGGAGUUCUCUAUGGCCAUGAAUGACAAAUAAAACUUUUGGAGACCAAAACAACGCCUAUGCUGGGGUAUUUUGGCAAAAUUCACUGGUCCAAUCAUCCUUCAUAGAUCACCUCGAAACUUUAUCAUAGUAAUUCAUCCAAUAACUAUACCACUGUUAUAUUUUGCCUCGACAACAAUAGCAGGAGCCUAAGUUGCUCUGACUCGGGUGAGUAUCUGGGGUCUGAUUCGGGGGUAUGUAUCAAGGUGCGGAUAAAAAAAUUCAAUAUUAUAAAGAUAUUCUAAAUUUGAGAGAUAUUUUGCACAAAACUUGCAUAUAUAUAUAUAUGUUGUAGAAUUCAAGCUUUCAUUCUCCAAGAGGGGUUACUAUUCCAUUCCCCUACGAAUCCAACAAUUUAUAAAAGCAUAUUACAAUAGAACAAAUAUAAUUAAAAUAAUGAGUGUUAACUCUUGAAAUAAAUAAUGUAACCAGGGAUAGAGCACACCUGAGAAGUGAGAACCCGAAGCGCUACAUACAGAGAGAUACGAGGGAACAAUGGAGUUCUAAAUUUUUGAAGGGAGACCAAAUUGUGAGUGGGAAUUCUGAAUACACUGAGGGAGAAAUAAAAUAAUAUUUGAAACACAAACGGCAGUUAUACAGUAUAUCACCGCUACAAUCUCUGUAAACCGAUGGUAUUCAAAAUUUUAGUGUGGUGUCUCAAAAACCGUUGUUUUACGUUCGCAGCUAUUUCGAUUUCGGGAGAGGAAGAGGACUUGCACAUGGUGUUUAUUGAACUUGAGAAGGCAUAUGACAGAGUUCCCAAGAGAUUUUGUGGAGGUGCUUGGAGGCUAGAGGGUGCCCGUGACAUACGUUAGGUCGAUUCAGCACAUGUAUGAUGGCGCGAAGAUUCAUGUGAGGACGGUAGGUGGAGAUUCAAAGCAUUUUCAAAUUUUGAUAAGGUCGCACCAGGGAUCGACUCUUAAUGUUUUGACGCGACAUAUUUAAGGGGUGCCUUGGUGUGUGUUAGUUGCUGGUGAUGUGGUAUUGAUUGACGAGACUCGGGGAGGAGUUAAUGAUAAGUUGG
rnacentral:lncRNA from 1 species